rnacentral:rRNA from 1 species
UACGUAGGGUGCGAGCGUUGUCCGGAAUUAUUGGGCGUAAAGAGCUCGUAGGCGGUUUGUUGCGUCGGCUGUGAAAACCUGAGGCUCAACCUCAGGCCUGCAGUCGAUACGAGCAGACUAGAGUGUUGCAGGGGAGACUGGAAUUCCUGGUGUAGCGGUGAAAUGCGCAGAUAUCAGGAGGAACACCGGUGGCGAAGGCGGGUCUCUGGGCAACAACUGACGCUGAGGAGCGAAAGCGUGGGGAGCAAACAGG